UAAUUUGAUUUGUAUAAAUUUAGUUCUAUAUUGCUUGUUGGCAAAUAAUUUUGUCGAAUAUUUUGUAUGCCGUUGCAAAGCACGGGCACCUAACUAGUUACAAUCUGAAAUUUAAGACACAUUUUAUACUAGUAUUGAGUAAACAUUUAGUUAGAACUACCUGCCAAUCUCCGCUGGUGCAUUAUUCCUUGCUUGUCGUUACUAGCUGCUGAUUAUUCUUGAUCGUGUUCUUGAAAACACUAAUUUGUACAAUGUAACAGCCAGCUGUGUCUCAGGAACUCCAAGUAUGGAGCACAAUACUUGCUUGAACAAUAUCUGUUGUUUUGCUGUCCUAUCUUCUUUCUACUGAAGAUCACUUUAAUGUAUAUGUAGAUUAAGAAGAUCAUGCACAAGCUGUGGCAGUAUAAGGUUUCAUAGAAGUGGAAAGAUCAAACAAAAAUUUGGGAUUGUUAGCUCAGAGGAUAUGGCUGAGCAUGCUUAUGAAGAUAGAUACGCUAAUGUUGAUUUAGUUUGUGCUCUAUGCGACAAUGGAGGUAAAAUUGUAAGGUGUGUGUGCACUUUACCUAGUUUUUUAUCUGCUGUCUAGAUACGCUAAUGUUGAUUUAGUUUGUGCUCUAUGCGACAAUGGAGGUGAAAUUGUAAGGUGUGUGUGCACUUUACCCAAUUUUUUAUCUGCUGUCCAUUAUGCAUUUCCUGCCAAGAUAAGUAAAAUAUUCAGAAUGCUCCAUGACUGAUUUAGUCCAUUUGUUGAGAUAAUGCUGCCUUUUUCAGAAUGCUCCAUGACUGAUGUACUGCAACAGUUAAACUAAGAAUUGUGCUAGAGUUCCAGCAGAAUUGAAAGAAAAUUAUCUAGAUGUCCUGGACUGAUGGUUUUUGUAUUAAAAAAGCAUUUAUGACUCCACGCUUUGUCUAAAAGACAAUUCUCUAGCUGUCAAGUUUUUGUUUCAUUAUUUGAAGGCCACAAUUUGUCCUUUGGUUCAUUGUGGUUCAGUUGUCAAAAAUGAAAUUUAAUGCAUAUGGACUGAAUUGCCUGGUACAUGUUUGUUGUAAUAACAAAUAAUGAAAUAACCAUAGAACCAUACAGAAAAAACCAUCUUACCCUGUUUUUUUGUCCUUGUGUUCGUUGUAUGAGGACUGCAGCUUCCAGAGUCCUCAAGAAAACUGAUCCAGAUCUUGACAACAUUGGUUGGCCUUAUUGCUGUUUUUGUGAUCUUUUGGUGCUAAUUACCUCAUGUGUUUUCAAUUAUAAAAAUAAUAGACAAAACAAAUGAUCAUGAUUUAGAAAGAUGAAGUAAUAUAGUGAUUUCUUUUUGCACAUAUAUUUUCAUUGGUUCAGGAAAUCAUGUCCUUUAUAAGAUCAUAUGUCGUGUCCGAAGGCAUUGCAGAUAGUGUCACACCUUCAUAUGUUUGAACUUUCAACCUAAGAAAUUAUGAAUUGUUUAGCCUCCCUUUUUUGUUGUGCUCAUCUCACCUGGUGGUUUGUUUCCUGGUUCUGCGAACAGGGGGUGGAGUACAUCGCUGGCGACGAACAGCAGCCAUGGGGAGGGUGCGUUCUGUCUCUAUCUGUACCUACUCUGCUGGAGUACUGGGCAAACGAUAAAUGGACAACAUCGUCACCAUUUAUCAGGGAAGCUGGAGGUUACUGAAAUUUUCAAUUUUUCACAAGAUGAUUUGUUGACCGAAGGCAUGAUGAUACUUGAUACACACUGAGGUUUUUGUCUAGAUGGGUCAGUGUGUUGAGACAAAAGAAAAACAGAAAGCAUUUGAGAUUUGACGUUACGCUGUCUUCUAUUCCAUAAACGAACUAAGGUGUAUAUUCUGCGCCAUAUUGGAAUUUAUGCAAUCAAGCCUGCUAGUUUGUUAUC